rnacentral:lncRNA from 1 species
CGGGGACCCUGAGUCUCACUUUACAAACGAGGACAGGGAGACUCAGGGAGGUUCUCCAACACAUCGGGGACACACAGUGUCUGGGAGGCAGAGGUAUUCAAACCCUGGCGUCCAGACUCCCAGCUGGGAACUAGGUGUGCUACAGUCCGUGGCUUUGGUUUCUGGUGGCUCCUGUUUGGGGAGGCCUGGCCGAGGGGAAAAAUGCAGCAGGGCCAGAGACACCCUGAGUUCUCCAGUUCUGACCCCAGCCGGGGAGCACCUCGUUCGGGGAAGGUGUUCAUUGCCUCCCUCCCGAGAACUUCGAGCACCCAGGGAGGGGCGGAAGGGCUCGGCUUCGCGGCCCGCGUGACCACUAGGGGGCGGUGGCGCGCUGCGCCGAUCUGCCGGCAGCCGCCCUGGGUCUGCAGAGGGGGCCGGGGCUCGCUGCCCCGGAGCUUCGCGGGCUCCCAGCGGCCGGGACCCCUGCUUCUCCUCCACGGAGCGGUCAUCAGCCUUCAGGGUACUGCUCUGUCCUGGGUUUCCCGGGCUGGGGCUGAACUCGAUGUUGGAGGAGCCGCCCCUUCUUCCCCAAUUGGGUUCGGCCCCAACUCAAAACCCCUGCGGCCCCCCACUGCAGCCCCCAAAAUCCACACGGAGCAGAGCCGCUGAUCCCGGGCACCGCGGGCGCCCUGGGCAGUUGCUGCUCCGUCCUUUUUUCUCUCUUCCUCAGGACC